CUCUUUCCCCUCCCCAGGCCCAGGCGAGCGCUGGUGUGGACGGGAAGCUCCCGGCCCGGCGAACUAACUGGAGCACGGAGCUGCAGCCGGUUGGGCCGGUGUACUUUCCCGCUCUGGAAAGGAAGAGAAAUGGAAGUGAGAAAGUUGAGCAUUUCCUGGCAGUUCUUGAUAGUUCUGGUUCUGAUCCUGCAAAUUCUGUCUGCGUUGGAUUUUGACCCAUACAGAGUCCUAGGGGUCAGCCGAACAGCCAGUCAGGCUGAUAUUAAAAAGGCUUAUAAGAAGCUCGCCCGGGAAUGGCAUCCUGACAAAAACAAAGAUCCUGGAGCAGAAGACAAGUUCAUUCAAAUCAGUAAGGCUUACGAGAUUCUUUCAAAUGAAGAAAAGAGAUCAAAUUAUGAUCAAUAUGGAGACGCUGGAGAGAACCAGGGCUACCAGAAGCAGCAACAGCAGCGAGAGUAUCGCUUCCGCCAUUUCCAUGAAAAUUUUUAUUUUGAUGAAUCCUUUUUUCACUUCCCUUUUAAUUCUGAACGGCGGGACUCAAUUGACGAAAAGUAUUUAUUGCACUUUUCACAUUAUGUGAAUGAAGUGGUUCCAGAUAGCUUCAAGAAACCCUACCUCAUCAAGAUCACCUCCGAUUGGUGCUUUAGCUGCAUUCAUAUCGAGCCUGUGUGGAAAGAAGUCAUUCAAGAACUGGAAGAAUUGGGUGUAGGAAUUGGCGUGGUCCAUGCUGGGUAUGAGAGACGCCUGGCCCAUCACCUAGGGGCACACAGCACGCCCUCUAUCCUAGGAAUCAUUAACGGGAAAAUCUCCUUCUUCCACAAUGCAGUUGUCCGUGAAAAUCUGCGACAAUUUGUAGAAAGUCUUCUUCCAGGGAACUUGGUGGAGAAAGUUACAAAUAAAAAUUACGUCAGAUUCCUCUCUGGCUGGCAGCAAGAGAAUAAGCCUCAUGUCCUUCUGUUUGACCAAACGCCCAUUGUGCCACUGUUAUACAAGUUGACUGCCUUUGCAUACAAAGAUUAUUUAUCAUUUGGAUAUGUAUAUGUGGGUUUGAGAGGGACGGAAGAGAUGACAAGGCGGUACAACAUCAAUAUCUACGCCCCUACCCUCUUGGUCUUUAAAGAACAUAUAAACAGGCCUGCCGAUGUUAUCCAGGCCCGAGGUAUGAAGAAGCAAAUCAUUGACGACUUCAUCACCCGAAACAAAUAUCUAUUGGCAGCCAGGCUCACCAGCCAGAAGUUGUUCCAUGAACUCUGCCCUGUGAAACGGUCGCAUCGACAGAGGAAGUACUGUGUGGUUUUAUUGACUGCUGAGACUACCAAGUUGAGCAAACCCUUUGAGGCUUUCCUGUCCUUUGCCCUGGCAAACACUCAAGACACAGUGAGAUUUGUGCAUGUCUACAGCAAUCGGCAGCAGGAGUUUGCCGACACCUUACUACCAGACAGUGAGGCGUUUCAAGGGAAAUCAGCGGUGUCUAUUUUAGAAAGGCGCAACACAGCAGGAAGGGUGGUGUAUAAAACCCUGGAAGACCCUUGGAUUGGGAGUGAGAGUGACAAAUUUAUCCUCUUGGGCUAUCUCGACCAGCUGCGUAAAGAUCCAGCUCUUCUGUCCUCUGAAGCAGUGCUUCCUGACCUGACCGAUGAACUUGCCCCUGUUUUUCUCCUUCGAUGGUUCUACUCUGCUUCUGACUACAUCUCAGACUGCUGGGAUAGCAUUUUUCACAACAACUGGAGGGAAAUGAUGCCCCUGCUGUCCCUGAUCUUCUCUGCCCUCUUCAUCCUCUUCGGCACUGUCAUCGUUCAGGCUUUCAGCGACUCUAAUGAUGAGCGAGAGUCAAGCCCUCCAGAAAAAGAGGAAGCCCAAGAGAAGACUGGGAAAACUGAGCCAAGCUUCACCAAAGAAAACAGCAGGUUUCUCUAACAAAACACCAGACUCACCUCCCCGGCACCUGCCCCCCAGAUCCUGUCAUCUGAUAACGCAGCAUUGGAACAUAGAGUGUAGAGAAGAACUCUCAUGCACCUCCUCCCAUGUAAACUGUGGCUACAGGGAAAAGUCACUGUGAUUUGUGUUUACUAAGACCCUGUAGGUGUUUAGAUGCCUUAGAUUUCAUAAUGAAGGCAGAAGGAAAGAAGCCUAUCAGCAAGAUUCCUAAAAAAGGCUUUGUGGAGGUAACUGAACUCACAGAUGUAACAUACACCAGUAACUUGGUACGUCUGAGGCCAGGCCACAUGAAUGUGGUCCUCAUCCUGUCGAAUUCUACCAAGACCAGCCUACUACAGAAAUUUGCUUUGGAGGUCUACACAUUUACUGGGAGCAGCUGCCUACACUUCUCCUUCCUGAGUCUAGAUAAACACAGAGAAUGGCUAGAAUACUUACUAGAAUUUGCUCAAGAUGCAGCUCCAAUCCCAAACCAAUAUGAUAAGCAUUUCAUGGAGCGUGACUACACUGGUUAUGUACUGGCUCUGAAUGGCCACAAGAAAUACUUCUGCCUCUUCAAGCCCCAAAAGACAGUCGAAGAGGAGGAAGCCAUAGGGUCGUGCAGUGAUGUUGACUCUUCCCUCUACCUGGGUGAAUCUCGAGGGAAACCUUCCUGUGGCCUUGGAUCCAGGCCCAUCAAAGGAAAGUUGAGCAAGCUCUCUUUAUGGAUGGAACGCCUGCUGGAGGGCUCCUUACAGAGGUUUUAUAUCCCAUCAUGGCCUGAACUAGACUGAGAGGAUUUUCCAAAGAGAUUUGAACUCUUCAGACUUUUUAACAUGCCCCUGUGAACAGGUAUUUUCAGGACUCAAACUACCACAAUGAACAGAGUAUAGAUUUUAGAUUGCUCUUCUAGAACCAUGGCUAGAAGAAUCUUUCCUUUGUCCUGUUCUAACCUAGGAAUGAAAAACACCACCAGUUUGAAUCGCCUAGAUGAAAAUCUUUUCCUCUGGGUGUUAUUUUUCCCCACUGAAUGCCACACCAUUGAAAAUAGACUGCUCAUCCCCUCUUCCUUUCUUGUCCUUGUCCCAUGCUCACCCCACCCUCCUGUCCUGUGUCUUGGAGAAGCACAGGGCUCCACCCUGCAAGCGGCAUCUGGCGGACCCUCAUGAGCCUGUCGUGCAGGCCAGGUCAUUGGCCCCUUCCCCAAUCCCGGCCCUGCUGUGCUGCUGCCAUGGCGCAUGCUCCUAACUCUGAACAACCCACGGCAGCUUCUAGCCCCGCAUCUGGAAAAAGGCCCCUUUCCAAGCAAUCUCACGUUUACUGGUUGUUCUGGGAGUAAGUGGCUAAAUGUAUAUUUUGGGGGUAUCCCCCAACAACAGUUUGUUGGCCACAGGUUGAAAAGGAAAGGAAUAAACGGGAGUUCUGCAUGUGAGUUCUCAAGAAAAGGAAAGGGAGGCUGAGCAGUGGCUGAAGCGAUGCAGCCUUGAGACACGCUGUGAGCAUCCCAUCCGCCGCCCCAGCGCUGCUGGUAGCCAGGGGAGGGGUCUGCACAGCGAGAAGUACUGUGAUGACUUUGAGCCGUUGACAUGUAUGUCUUCAGAUGCCUUUCUGCCUCUGUCGAUUUUAGGGUAUGGAUAUUAGGAGCCAUAACUUGUAAUCUUGUUCUCUGAACGUAGAGAUAAGCUGCUAUAAAGCCAGUAGAUGUUAAACUGAAGAGAAAUUAUUCCCACCUGCUAUGAGUCAGGCUUAAGGAAUCUCUUCAAUAGUGUCUCUUUAGUAAAAUACCAAACAUGUCUUUGUAUCAAGGAACUUAAAAUUUCUCAACAAUUGUAUUUUGAACACUGUUACCCUAAAAGUGCUGUCUCUUCAAGUCAUCUUUUGCAGGAAGUGAGCCAAGAUUUGUUCUAGACUCCCAUUUUGCAAAAGGCUUACUUUCCACUUCUGGGCUGUAUUUUGAUGUCUCAUCUUCAUUGUUUUCACUCUUAACUUAGAGCUGCUUCACCAGUAUUGGGGUCAGACUGGCCAUCAGCACCUGAGCGUGCUGAGCUCCAGGUAUAGUGGACCCCAGGGUGCCUCAUACCAGCCAGUUAGAGAGCAUACCUUUUAUUUUUCAGGGCAGAAUGACCAGUGGUUCUGAGUUUGAGUUUGGACAGCUUCAAAGAGUGGUCCGUUCAAAUGUCAAAGCAAGGUGCCUUUGGUGGCUUUGUGAAGGGUGAAAAUCAGUGAUGGGACAUUUACUAAGUAUUUCUUUUUUUUUUUUUUUUUUUAGUUGUUGAGACAGAGUUUCACUCUUGUUGCCCAGGCUGGAGUGAAAUGGUGCGAUCUCGGUUCACCGCAACCUCCACAUCCCAGGUUCAAGUGAUUCUCCUGCCUCAGCCUCCUGAGUAGCUAGGAUUACAGGCAUGUGCCACCAUGUAAUUAGCCCGGCUAAUUUUGUAUUUUUAGUAGAGACGGGAUUUCUCCAUGUUGAUCAGGCUGGUCAUGAACUCCUGACCUCAGGUGAUCUGCCUGCCUCAGCCUCCCAAAGUGCUGCUGGGAUUACAGGCGUGAGCCACCACUCCCGGCUAAGUUAGUAUUUCUUUAAUCUUAAUGCUUUAAACUAAGCCACUUGGAUCCUGAAUAAUUUAAAUCUUGAGCUACAUUGGUAAGUAAUAAAUUAUUUAAGGCCAGGAAUUCCUGUAGUUUUCAUGGAGUCUGUAGCUUUAUUAAAAAAUAAAUCACUGCCAGGCUUCAUUCUUCCAUAUGAUCCUCUAAAAAUGGACACUUCCUCUGAAUGCUGUAUCUCAUGGCACCUGGUCCAACUAGAAAUGGUCAAGGAAUUCAUUUGGCUCCUUGAUACAUCAGUCCUCAAUAUUACUUUCUAGGUAUUUUAUGGCCAGAUUGCUUAUAUGAGUGGUCUUUUGGUUUGGUAGUAGGUUUUUAUUUUUAAUUUCUGUACUAAUGAAAUUCCUGACUUUAAUUUCUGAAAACCAAAAACUCUCCAAGUGUAUUUAUUUAUAUUUUUUUUAAUAGAGACGAGGUCUUGCUAUGUUGCCCAGGCUGGUCCCAAACUCCUGGCCUCAAGCAGUCCUUCCACCUUGGCCUCCCAAAGUGCUGGGAUUAUCAAUAUGAGCCACCAUGCCAGAUUUGUUCAUUUUUAAACAUUUUUAUCUCUUCAAGUCAUCUUUUGAUCUUUUAAAAAGCACCUUCAAACAGCUGCACCUUCCAUUUGCACUAGGAAAUGAAGGUAGUGAUGGGAUUGGCAAUGUUCCUGGCAGAUGUUUCAGCCCAAAAGCUCUUCUACAGACCGGUUUAGAGCUGGUGCCCUAUGAGAAUAUUAGGGAGCUUUUAUUUUAAAUUGAACUUUACCCUUGUCCAUGCAAGGCAUUCCUCCUGAAUGCAUCCAUGAAUUUGUUUACUUUUGCGUCAAACAUAUGAGCCAUUGUCAUGCUCAGCCUGUGCCACCAUUGCUCUGUCUGAUGUAUGUAAUCAUACAAGACCUGAUUUUGGUUCUAACACAGUGGUCUUUGACUAUCAACAUUGAUGUUUUUAGAGAUGGGUUCUUCUGGUUGAUACAGACUAUGCAUUGCGUUUAGCAGAUGGGGUAAAACUGGCCUAAAACAAGUCUUUGCAGAAUACAUGCCAAUUUCCAAAAAAAAAAAAAAAUUUGUUGCUCAGGUGUUGCACAAUUUUUAUCUAACACUGAGGCUAUCAGCUCCAACUAAACAACAUUUCAGUGGGUGAGGCUGCCCUAACUUCCAUUAGGGGCCAUGGUCUCACUGCCAUCACUUAUUAGCCAUGAGAAUUUGGUUGUAGUUUUCAGGUAGGUUGGUUUCUUCCUCAUUUGCAGCUUGUUGAUACUUGUUCCUUUUUAUUUAUUAACAUCCCAAUCAAUUUGCAGCUGCCAUCAUUACAUAAAUAUUUUUCUGUUAUAAAAAGAAGUGUGAUCUGUUUUUUUAGUGAUUUCCUUUGUUUGGGAAUAGAGAUUGGAAGCACAUACUCAGACCUGUUUUGUUAACUAGAAUUCUUUAAAAGCUGAUGCCAAACAUCUUUACAGAGGAACUGUAGUUCACAUCCACCUGUCUGACAUUGUCCCCUAAAAACAAGUGCAGUGUGGCAGCUGCUGAAUCUGUCUGUUCAGUUUGUCAAGGAGGAUAAUUAUGCUUGGGAGAGAUCUGAAAAGAAGGUGAAUAUUUUGCACUUUUGAUACUCUUAGGAACAAAUAACUUAUUUGGCAAAUUGUUUCUUUUUUAUGUUUUGGGUGUUGUUUUUGUUUUUUGACUUUUUUUGUAUUGUGAACAGGCACUGAAGCUGAUGUUAUUUUAAGAUUACAGAAUGGAAAAAGAAAUAAACUAUUUUAAUGUCUGAUAA